AUACGGAGGAUCCGAGCGUUAUCCGGAUUUAUUGGGUUUAAAGGGAGCGUAGGCGGACGCUUAAGUCAGUUGUGAAAGUUUGCGGCUCAACCGUAAAAUUGCAGUUGAUACUGGGUGUCUUGAGUACAGUAGAGGCAGGCGGAAUUCGUGGUGUAGCGGUGAAAUGCUUAGAUAUCACGAAGAACUCCGAUUGCGAAGGUAGCCUGCUAGACUGUAACUGACGUUGAUGCUCGAAAGUGUGGGUAUCAAACAGGAUUAGAUACCCUGGUAGUCCACACAGUAAACGAUGAAUACUCGCUGUUUGCGAUAUACAGUAAGCGGCCAAGCGAAAGCGUUAAGUAUUCCACCUGGGGAGUACGCCGGCAACGGUGAAACUCAAAGGAAUUGACGGGG
rnacentral:rRNA from 1 species